rnacentral:tRNA from 1 species
UAUGAAAUGGCAGAAAUAAUGCCUAAACUUUAAGCGUUUAUUAUGACCACUAGGUCUUUCAUAU